rnacentral:misc_RNA from 1 species
GAAAUGCGAUAAUUAAUGUGAAUUGCAGAAUUCAGUGAAUCAUCGAGUCUUUGAACGCACAUUGCGCCCCCUGGUAUUCCGGGGGGCAUGCCUGUCCGAGCGUCAUUGCUGCCCUCAAGCACGGCUUGUGUGUUGGGCUUCCGUCCCUGGCAACGGGGACGGGCCCAAAAGGCAGUGGCGGCUCCAUGUCUGGUCCUCGAGCGUAUGGGGCUUUGUCACCCGCUCCCGUAGGUCCAGCUGGCAGCUAGCCUCGCAACCAAUCUUUUUAACCAGGUUGACCUCGGAUCAGGUAGGGAUACCCGCUGAACUUAAGC